AGGAUUCCCCUAGUAACGGCGAGUGAAGAGGGAAGAGCCNCNGAUUGAAAGCUGGCGUCUUCGGCGUCCGCAUUGUAAUCUCAAGAAGCGUUUUCCGCUUCGGACCAUGCCUAAGUCCCUUGGAAAAGGGCAUCAUAGAGGGUGAUAAUCCCGUACAUGGCAUGGAGCGCCCGAAGCUUUGUGAUACGUUUUCUAAGAGUCGAGUUGUUUGGGAAUGCAGCUCAAAAUGGGUGGUAAAUGCCAUCUAAGGCUAAAUAUUGGGGAGAGACCGAUAGCGAACAAGUACAGUGAUGGAAAGAUGAAAAGAACUUUGAAAAGAGAGUUAAACAGUACGUGAAAUUGCCAAAAGGGAAGGGUAGGAGGUCAGAGAUGCGUCUUGGAAUUCAGCCUUGCUUUUUCGCUUGGUGUUUUUUCCAAGUUUGCAGGCCAACGUCGGUUUUGGGCACUGGAGAAGGGUGGAAGGAACGUGGCACCCCUCGGGGUGUGUUAUAGCCUUCUACUGGAUACAGCGACCGAGACCGAGGACAGCAGCGUACUCGCAAGAGCGGGCCCUCGGGCACCUUUACGCUUAGGGCGUUGGCAUAAUGGCCCUCUACCACCCGUCUUGAAACACGGACCAAGGAGUCU
rnacentral:rRNA from 1 species